UACUUGGAUAACUGUGGUAAUUCUAGAGCUAAUACACGCAGGACGGGCGCAUUUAUUAGAACAAAACCAAUUUUGGUGAAUCUGAAUAACUUUCGGUCUUGCACCGGCGAUGUAUCUUUCAAGUGUCUGCCUUAUCAACUUUCGAUGGUAGUUUAUGUGCCUACCAUGGUUGCAACGGGUAACGGAGAAUUAGGGUUCGACUCCGGAGAGGGAGCCUGAGAAACGGCUACCACUUCUAAGGAAGGCAGCAGGCGCGCAAAUUACCCACUCUCGGCGAGGAGGUAGUGACGAAAAAUAACGAAAAGACUCUCUCUUUUAUUGGAAUGAGAACAAUCUAAACCUUUUAACGAGGACCUAGCGGAGGGCAAGUCUGGUGCCAGCAGCCGCGGUAAUUCCAGCUCCGCCAGUGUAUAUCUAUGCUGCUGCGGUUAAAAAGCUCGUAGUUGGAUCUGCCACGACUGCGGUCCGGCCUUUGGUUGUGUAGUCGGUGCGCACUUGGUGGCCUUCAUCGGUUGCCCUGGGUGUCCGACGAGUUUACUUUGAAAAAAUUAGAGUGCUCAAAACAGGCGUUUUGCUUGAAUACUGGUGCAUGGAAUAAUAGAAUAGGAGGUUCUAUUUUGUUGGUUUUCGGAACACGAGGUAAUGAUUAAGAGGGACAGACGGGGGCAUUUGUAUUGCGACGCUAGAGGUGAAAUUCUUGGA
rnacentral:rRNA from 1 species